UACGUAGGUGACAAGCGUUGUCCGGAUUUACUGGGCGUAAAGAGCGCGCAGGCGGUCGAUCAAGUCGAGUGUGAAAGCCCCCGGCUCAACUGGGGAGGGUCAUUCGAUACUGAUCGACUCGAAGGCAGGAGAGGGUAGUGGAAUUCCCGGUGUAGUGGUGAAAUGCGUAGAUAUCGGGAGGAACACCAGUGGCGAAGGCGGCUUUCUGGGCCUUACCUGACGCUGAGACGCGAAAGCGUGGGGAGCGAACCGG
rnacentral:rRNA from 1 species